rnacentral:rRNA from 1 species
CAGCAGNNAGGAAUUUUGCGCAAUGGGGGAAACCCUGACGCAGCAACGCCGCGUGAGUGAAGAAGGCCCUUGGGUCGUAAAGCUCUGUCGACAGGGAAGAAAUUACUUCAUAUUAAUAGUGURUUGUAUUGACGGUACCUGUAGAGGAAGCACCGGCUAACUCCGUGCCAGCAGCCGCGGUAAUACGGGGGGUGCAAGCGUUAUUCGGAAUUAUUGGGCGUAAAGGGCGCGUAGGCGGUCUUGUCGGUCAGAUGUGAAAGCNMRGGGCUCAACCCUGGAAGUGCAUUUGAAACAGCAAGACUUGAAUACUGGAGAGGAGAGCGGAAUUCCUGGUGUAGAGGUGAAAUUCGUAGAUAUCAGGAGGAACACCGAUGGCGAAGGCAGCUCUCUGGACAGAUAUUGACGC